CAUAGUAUAUAUAUUCUUUAAAAUCCUGUAAAUAGACCAAUACUGACCUGUUUAAUGUUUGAACCACUUUUACAAAAGUUGCUUCCCUUUGAUUUAAACACGCCAUGAUCGGUCUGCAGAGGUCAAAAUAAAAUUAUGAAAAACAGAAGGACUUGCCUAGAUUUACAAGUAUAAGUUCAGAAAUGUUUGAAUGAUAUAAAGAGAACAGUAACAAUGUUUAUCAGCAUCAAGCAAACUAUGCAGGUCUUGCUGUCUAGGUCGUCAAACUGGUUGUGCAUUGACAACUCAAGCCCUCACAUGCGAGUACCAGUUUUGGGGAUGUUAACAGAGAAGAAGUGAGCAGUAUGUUGAUGGAUGACCUGUGCUUCAUUAGACUGCCUGAAUAACUUCUACUUUCUGGUGUAAAGAUGGCAUUGAAGUAUGAAUGGGUUAAAUGCUGCUACCCCGGUAGUCUAUUCAAUAUAGUGAAUGCUUGAAUCAAGAGAAUAGACUUAAGCCGUGUCGUAAUGAACAUGGUGUCCGCGUAGCGUUUGGGAGGUCACGAGUUCGAUCCCACUGUGGAGCGUUCUUUAAAUCUUCCCCCGAAGACACCAAGUACGGGUUCUAGUUCCACAAAACUGACUCGAGAGUAUUUCAAAUGAGCUUAAUGCUUUCGAUGCAAUCGAGCUAAACUUAACAGGUUUUAACUAAACUAAUAGCCUUCAUCAAUUGACAUCAAGACAACUGACGUAAAAACCUGGGGAAUCAAUAAAUAUGACGUCAAAUCAAAGGACAUUAAAACACAAAAGAAGGAUCAUCACUACAACUGACAUAAGCACUAUGGAUUUCAAAAUAAAUGAGUUUAAUACAAGAUUCCCUCCCCCCACGUGAAAGCUUUGUCAGUAUCGAUUUAUCGGUCUAUUUGAAUAAACAUUAGUCCGAUAUAUCAUGACUAAAAUGGGGACAGGUGUCAGAUGUGAGUUUGCUGAGGGUUUAAUAGAUGUAUCAAUGCAUUUUAGUAAGUAGUGUGAUGUUAAUCGAACGGCAAAUUUUGGGGCAACCAAGAAUGUGGACCUUCUGAAUAAGUCCCGAAAGUAGGUCAAUGUCAAGGUCAAAAUGAGGUCAUCUGAUGGGGGGUGUUGAUAGUUUUCAUAGAUAACAUCAAGCAAGUAACACAGCAUUGUAACAAACAGUAUUGAUAUUAGACGAAUAUCAUUUUGGGUUUUCCAAGACUUAGCCUAGUUCUACGUUUAAGUCAAAAAGAGGUCAGGGUGAUGUGCAAAUGUUAAGACAUAGAAUACAUAAAAUAUUAAAACUUUUUAGGAAGAGGUAUUGCUGUUAGACGAAACACGUCAUCUUGGGUUACCCUCGCAAGGACGGACGGAAUAACGAAAAGACCAAUUUCUAUAUGGCUCUCGGCAUUAGUACAUGCCGGACAUAAAAACAAGGACUGAACAAGAUCAGGCGACAUAAAGAAAUGGGCGUAUCACGACAAGGAGGAAUAAAGAUAAAGGGAUGUCAUUAUACAGAAGAGUAAUUAAAAAAAAAAAAACAAUGCAAGGGGAGAAUAAAGCCAAAAAGAAAAACAGAAAAAAAAUGUAAAUACAUCGGGAAUUUAAGACAGUGCAAUCGCGAAGAUAUUAAUACAGAUAAGGUGAAAUUAAAACCCAAUGAGAAAUAAAAAAAGAAAACCAGGGAAACAUUUUUUGUCGUUUUUUAUAAAUACAAUAAAAGGGUUAUUAAAUGAAAUAAAG